rnacentral:misc_RNA from 1 species
AUGUGCCUAACAACAAGCUGAAUUGUGGUUCUAAAAAUAUGCAGCCAAAUGAACAACCUAUUAUUGUAAAGGGAGACAGUAUAUUGUCAACAUCAACAACCAAGGCCGACUUAGAGCUUCUUGCACAGAACAGAGGCAACGCAAUGCAGCGUUACAAGGAGAAACGAAAAACUCGAAGGUAUGAUAAGUACAUUCGCUAUGAGUCAAGGAAGGCGAGAGCUGAUACAAG